GGAUUAGGCAUGCAGUCGCACGAGAAAGGCUUCUUCGGAAGCCGAGUAAAGUGGCGAACGGGUGAGUAAUGCAUAGACAACUCGCCCUUGAGAUGGGGACAACGCCUCGAAAGGGGUGCUAAUACCCAAUGCCGCCUUGGGCCUGCGGGUCCAGGGUGAAAGGAGGCCUCUGAUUCAAGCUUCCGCUCAAGGAGGGGUUUAUGUCCUAUUAGCUAGUUGGCGGGGUAACGGCCCACCAAGGCUGCGAUGGGUAGCCGACCUGAGAGGGUGACCGGCCACAUUGGGACUGAGACACUGCCCAGACUCCUACGGGAGGCUGCAGUCGAGAAUCUUCCGCAAUGCGCGCAAGCGUGACGGAGCGACGCCGCGUGGGUGAUGAAGGCCUUCGGGUUGUAAAACCCUGUCAGCUACUACGAAACACGGGCGAUGAACAAUCGUCCCGUCUGACUUAAGUAGCAGAGGAAGCACCGGCUAACUACGUGCCAGCAGCCGCGGUAAUACGUAGGGUGCGAACGUUGUUCGGAAUCACUGGGCAUAAAGGGCGCGUAGGCGGUCUGAUAAGUCAGGUGUGAAAUCCCUCGGCCUAACCGAGGAACUGCAUUUGAUACUGUCGGGCUAGAGUACAGGAGGGGAGAGUGGAAUUCCUGGUGGAGCGGUGAAAUGCGUAGAUAUCAGGAGGAACGCCGGCGGCGAAAGCGACUCUCUGGCCUGUUACUGACGCUGAGGCGCGAAAGCUAGGGGAGCAAACGGGAUUAGAUACCCCGGUAGUCCUAGCCCUAAACGAUGGGCACUAAGUAGAGGGGUUUU
rnacentral:rRNA from 1 species